UAAAGUUAGAGGAAUGAAACUUUUGGGCUGC
rnacentral:piRNA from 1 species